CUUGAUGGAGCCCAGCCACAGCGGCUCGUCGGUGUCCCGGUCCUGGCCAUAGGUGGCGAGGAGCGCCUGGGCCUC
rnacentral:antisense_RNA from 1 species